UAACUGUUUUUUUUGUUUGUUUGUUUUUUUUUACUUAAAGCAAAUGCUACUUUUUUCCAUUUAUUUUCUUGUCAGAGUGCACUAAAAUGCUUCAUUUAUAUGUUUAAAUCAAAACUAUUUUAUCAGAUAGAUCAGAUAGAGUAAAAGAAUACAUAUUUGCCGUGCUGUCUGAGGAGAGGGCUCCAAGCUUGGUAUUUGGCCCGAACCCAGAGUACUCCCCCGAUAUCUUUGGAUAGUAACCAGGUGAAUGUGAGGAGACGGGGUGGUGGUGGGAUGCAGUAAAAUCUGUCUGAGUUCCCUGUCUACCUUUAUACGACCAAGCAGGUCGUCCCUGAGUUCCCUGUCUGCCUUGAUACAACCAAGGAGGUCAUCCCUGAAUUCCCUUUCUGCCUUGAUACGACCACGGAGGUCGUCAAUGAGUUCCCUGUCUGCCUUGAUACGACCAAGGAGGUCGUCCCUUAGUUCCCUGUCUGCCCUGAUACGACCACAGAGAUCAUCCCUGAGUCCCCUGUCAGCCCUGAUAUGACCACUAGAGUGGUUCAUGAGUUUUCUGUCUGCCUCGACAUGACCGUAGAGGUCGUUCCUGAACUGUUUGCCUGCCUCAAUACGAUCUGCCUGUCCUGUUACGGCCCUAGUGGCCACUCCUAACUUCUCUGUGCCUUAUGUUUCAGUUUUGCCUAGUCAGCUGUGUUGGCUUCUAGAUUCACCUGAUCCAUGGGGGUCUUCAGUUCCGUGUACACGGCAGUGGUGGUCAUCUGCUCCGCCGUGGGUGUCUUCAAGCCCAUCUGCACUGCUGUCGGGGUCGUCUGCUCCGCCGUGGAUGCCUUCAAGCCGGUCUGCGCUCCUGUGGUGGCAGCCUGCCCCUCACUGGGCCCUUACUAAACCUUUUUCACCCUGGCUGUCUGCUAUGCCUUCAGUUAAAGUUCUGCUUCCUAUUUCUGAGCACUCUGCUGGUAUUGUUUUCUUGUUUUUGGUGGACUGUUUCUUGGAUUUUGACCCUUUGCCUGGCAUAUGAUUUUGAUUCUGGAUAUCCCUAAAUAAAGCUGCUUUUGGAUCUUACCCCAAGUCUCAGAGCACCGUGACACAUAUGCUUUAACUUUUAGUUAAAGUUCUGAGAGAUAUGUUGAUAAAUCGCAGGACAACAAUGACGAUGAUUCUGUGUGCGACUGUGCGUGCGAGCUGAGCGUGGUGUGCCAGCUACAAGGAGCAGCAUGUUAGUUUUAGAACGGCAAAUCACUUAUACAGAAAAACUGUUCAAAAUGUGUAUUCCCCCAAUCAAAUUGAGUGUUAAGAUGACAUAAACAGUGCUUGUGGUUUAGCAACUGGAUUUGAGCUGUGCUCUUAUGGGUUUGAGCCAAUGGGGGAGCAAGGGCUGGCCAGGACUGAAUCUACGGCGCGGCUUGCUGGUGCUCGACGGGCCUUAUAGUCCAUUUCUUUAUGGCAGGAAUGAUUGAGCGAGCUGAAUGAAGAAAGAUGCGGGGGAGGAUUGCAGAAAUUUCACCUAAGCUUGCUGGGACCCGUUUGUUUUUGGGCUGAUGCUUGCGAGAUAACGUUGUGGGAUUAGAUAGAUAGAUAGAUAGAUAGAUAGAUAGAUAGAUAGAUAGAUAGAUAACUUUUAUUGUCCCUUAACGGGAAAUUUGUUUUCACAGACUGUCAUACAGUACACGUAACUGGCAUACAAAAAAAAAAAAAAAUUAGAUGCGGAUGGUGGAGGAGAAUCACUCCAUAGGCCAUAGGAUAGGGGCAAAGAUUCCUCGAGGAUGAAAGAUUCUUCAUCGGUCGAGAAGAGCUUGAUUUCUGACAUGUUGGGAAUGAAGGGCGGGGCCAAAUGCUUCAGAAUUCAAUUCCCAUCGUUUUUGUGUCAUGACCAUAACGCUGGAGAAGCGUGCCCAGUCCCAAAGGAGGAGAAUGCUAUAGAGACCACACACUGCCUGAAGAGAGGUAAUGUGUGGAGGUACACAUAUAGACUGACCCAAGGGACAGUGCUACAUAUGGAAGAUCUCUGCAGUAGGUCCUACCUAGCCAGGGAGGAGCUACUACUGGCACAGAGACAGGGCAGGUAAAGACACAGGUUUACCGUCAGGGAAACCGAAUCAUGGACAAUACACAUAUGGGAUUAUUGAGUGAGGAAUCGCAUCAUAUUCAAGCGCUGAUCAGCCUGGUAUGCACACGAUGUAUACUGGGCCUGGCGUCAGAUGCAUCCACCGCGUCUGACUGCCGAAGGAUCCUGGAGGAACUCAAUUCAGAGUUCACCAAGUUGAGAACACACCUGAAGAGCAAGUAGGUGCUUGUAUCCCCCUGUUAAAAUGGAAUAACGCUGCAAGUGAGACACCAUGCCAGAGAUUCCGCACAUUACCUGUUUGAAUCCCAACACAAGGGAAGAAACCAGCUCCACUUGAAGAUAAUAGAAUUUUGCGAAUGUGUUAGGUGUCGUCCAGCCCGCAGCUCAGCAGAUGUUUGCCAGAGAGGCGCCAUGUGCCAACACGCAGGAGGAGGCAACACCCCGAGUGCAUCCGUACUGAGGGUCACGUCGGUCAGGGAAUAGAACAACAGCGCAUCGGCAAGCACAGACCAUCUUGACAGUUGAUGUACGCUACGAUGUGUUGUCCAUCCAGGCCAGUACAUGCUUGCCGUGCAGCUACGGUCGGAAUCGGAGCAGUGCAAGGAGUACUGCUAGCAACUCAAGGCACUUAAUAUGCCACUGCAGUUGAGGUCCUGUCCAGUAGCCCAAGGGAGCAUGCUAGUUGCAUAUGGCACCCCAGCCAAUGGUGGAGGCAUCUGUUGUGACAACAAUAUGCCUGGGCACUUGUUCUAAGGGGGAAACCGGCCCAUAGAAAGGCAAGGUCUGACCAAGGGCUGAAAGUUUGGCGAUAGCUCGGUGUGAUGGCCACUUGAAGCAUGCCAUGGUGCCAUGCCCAUCUUGGGACUCAGCUAUGUAGCCAUUGCUGAAGCAACCUCAUAUGCAUCAGUCCGAGUGGCAUGACCAUGGCAGCAGAUGCCAUAUGCCCAAGAAGCCUCUGAAAUUGCUUCAGUGGAACCGCUGUCUUCUGCCUGAUCGUAUUCAGGCAAUUCAGCACCAACUGAGCAGAAUCCUCAAAAUGUGGACUCUUGAAAGAGGGUAUGGCUGAGAGUGAGGAAGUGGAGCAUUGCUCACUGUCAGAACAGACCCAGUAUGGCCCAGAGGUUUUUGGAAUCUGCUCUUUUAUUGAGAAUGUGACAGAACAGAACUGCUAGGCAAAGUCCUCAACAGUGUCGCUGAAGAGGCCAGCCUGGGAGAUGGGGGCGUCGAGAAAGCGAGAGGACUUGUGCCUCAGUAUUAAAGAAGGAGAGUCACGACCACAAUGCAAACAUGGACAUGCUCUCACAGUAAGAGCAUAUAGCAUCCACGAAUGCUCUCUCAGCAUGCUGUCUGCCCAACAUGUGAGACAGCGAUCGUGGCUGUUAGAUGAAGUCAGUAAACAACCGCAUCCAGAAUCACACGAGCGAAAACAUAUUGAAAAAGAUGCUGAUCGACCAUGCUUGCUCUUUUAAGGAAACUGCUCUGAACGGCGAAUCACCGAGGUGUGAAGCACUGCACUUUCCGUGCACAGCAAGCUGGAUUGCGCAACACUGCUGGAUGCGCCGUCACACCAGCGGAGAGAUCCCUCAACGAGCUGCAAGCAAAACGAAGCAAUUAAAAUAGCUGUUUUCGGAGAUGUACUCCUGUUUAGCAAUAAAAAUUGCUGUUGGCUCAGAAGUGUUCUCUUUUUUGUUGAAGGUGAAUGGAAUGAGCGAUCGCUUUCACAACCACUUGGCUCCGAAGCAAAUUAUGAAUGAACACAAACUACAAUCUAAUCAAAUAAUCAUGGCUAUAACCAAGUCUCAGCAUCAAACGGCACACCCACAGACGUCCACAGUCUGUUCACUGAGCCACGUGAUGCUCGUUGCACACAAAAAUGUGCUGUUCCUCAAACUCCAGCAGAGUCUGUACAGCUGCACAACAACAAGGGGCCACAGAAUGAGGGGCCGUGACGGAGAAGUUGCUUUUUUAUAGAUAUAAAAAUCUAUCUAUCUAUCUAUCUAUCUAUCUAUCUAUCUAUC